UCAUGUUAUCGAUAUGUGAAUACAUAGCAUAUCAGAAGGCACACCCGGAGAACUGAAACAUCUUAGUACCCGGAGGAAGAGAAAGAAAAUUCGAUUCCCUUAGUAGCGGCGAGCGAAACGGGAAGAGCCCAAACCAACAAGCUUGCUUGUUGGGGUUGUAGGACACUCUAUACGGAGUUACAAAGGACGACAUUAGACGAAUCAUCUGGAAAGAUGAAUCAAAGAAGGUAAUAAUCCUGUAGUCGAAAAUGUUGUCUCUCUUGAGUGGAUCCUGAGUACGACGGAGCACGUGAAAUUCCGUCGGAAUCUGGGAGGACCAUCUCCUAAGGCUAAAUACUCUCUAGUGACCGAUAGUGAACCAGUACCGUGAGGGAAAGGUGAAAAGCACCCCGGAAGGGGAGUGAAAUAGAACCUGAAACCGUGUGCUUACAAGUAGUCAGAGCCCGUUAAUGGGUGAUGGCGUGCCUUUUGUAGAAUGAACCGGCGAGUUACGAUUUGAUGCAAGGUUAAGCAGUAAAUGUGGAGCCGUAGCGAAAGCGAGUCUGAAUAGGGCGUUUAGUAUUUGGUCGUAGACCCGAAACCAGGUGAUCUACCCUUGGUCAGGUUGAAGUUCAGGUAACACUGAAUGGAGGACCGAACCGACUUACGUUGAAAAGUGAGCGGAUGAACUGAGGGUAGCGGAGAAAUUCCAAUCGAACCUGGAGAUAGCUGGUUCUCUCCGAAAUAGCUUUAGGGCUAGCCUCAAGUGAUGAUUAUUGGAGGUAGAGCACUGUUUGGACGAGGGGCCCCUCUCGGGUUACCGAAUUCAGACAAACUCCGAAUGCCAAUUAAUUUAACUUGGGAGUCAGAACAUGGGUGAUAAGGUCCGUGUUCGAAAGGGAAACAGCCCAGACCACCAGCUAAGGUCCCAAAAUAUAUGUUAAGUGGAAAAGGAUGUGGCGUUGCCCAGACAACUAGGAUGUUGGCUUAGAAGCAGCCAUCAUUUAAAGAGUGCGUAAUAGCUCACUAGUCGAGUGACACUGCGCCGAAAAUGUACCGGGGCUAAACAUAUUACCGAAGCUGUGGAUUGUCCUUUGGACAAUGGUAGGAGAGCGUUCUAAGGGCGUUGAAGCAUGAUCGUAAGGACAUGUGGAGCGCUUAGAAGUGAGAAUGCCGGUGUGAGUAGCGAAAGACGGGUGAGAAUCCCGUCCACCGAUUGACUAAGGUUUCCAGAGGAAGGCUCGUCCGCUCUGGGUUAGUCGGGUCCUAAGCUGAGGCCGACAGGCGUAGGCGAUGGAUAACAGGUUGAUAUUCCUGUACCACCUAUAAUCGUUUUA
rnacentral:rRNA from 1 species